AUUUAAUCAUAGUGACAGAAAGGGGAAAGAAAACAUAAUAUUAACCUAUAAUUCUAUUCUAAAGUCACGUGGAUGGAAAUUCAAAUUCGUAGGCGUUACGUUUUGGCUGUCGGUCAGGAAUCGGGAUGCAUUGAUAAAGUGAAUAUUAUAGAUUUUCUUGAACAAAAAGGUAGUAAAAGUGUUGGACAUGCUCUCAAAGGUCGGAGGGACGGAAACACGUGAAUAUGUAAAAAGAAACAUAGGAAAUGAAAAUGAUGUCACACACGCUAUUGGACGCUACAAACGCUACAUAUCCUCCGGACAGACGAGGGGUGCUGAAAGAAGGUCAUAUCUUAAAGCAUCACACCUCAAAAUUCGUGCUAAUUCUCAUGGAUAUCUAAAAGUAUAACUUUGUGAAGUAACUAAAAAGCAGCAAUUUAUACAUUACUGACAAUUAUCAAAGGAGGUCAAAAUAUGCAAAAUGGCACUAAAUGUUUUAGAAAUGCUGUAGAAAUAUAGUUGAAAUACUGAAAAUCUGUCAUUAAUUGCUUGAAACAUUAUUAUCAGAAUCUUUUAAUUUUUCUUAAAAUUA